UUGACCGAAAUGGAGAACCAACCUGAGGCUUCACAAGUAACGGGAUGACCCAAAUCCCUGAAAACUUCCACAAUGGAAAUAGGGCACAAUGACUGGGCUGAACUGCAGGACUUGGUAGGGCUGGAGGUCCCAGACACCCUCCUCUUCCUCAUCCUUCAUCAGCAUGGAGCCCUGGGAUCCCUGAUGGCCCCUACCAGACGGGAGCUGCUCUGGUUUUUUUUUGAGGUGCCCCAUUGGGUUCCAGUUCUGUUCCUGCUCCCCACAGCACAAAAAUGCCCUUUUGGGGCAACCCUGGUCAAGAGAAUUGUCUUUAGGACAGAGCUCGGAUUGUCAUUACCUGCAGGAGAAAAAAAAAUCUUUGGUAUCUUUGCAAGUUGCUCCUCAAGGCAUUUUGGUAGGUGUGGGCAGCAGGCGAGGCUGGAUCCAGCAUAGGGCAAAGCCCCUUUGGUUCAGUGGGUGCUGGUGGGUGAAGGACAAGGACUGCACUCAGUGCUCAGCUUCUCUGGGAUGUCCCAAAUCAUUGGGUUCUUGUUCCGAGGUGGGAACCAGUUGGGCUCUGUAGGCUCCUAGGACUGGUGGCUGUGGGCUGGGUCUAAGCUUGGUGACACCUUCUUGUGGUUGGAAGUGAAGUCUGGGCAUCCAAAGAACAACAUUGCGAUGGACCUCCAAACAGCAGCAUUUCCCCAGAAGACACCAGGAGGGUUGUGUGGAUGGACAGCCAUGAAGACGAUGAAGGCUGCAGGAUGCUGCAUUGCAGAAGAUGCAGUCAUUUGAGCUUUGGGGCCACAUCUAGUGACAGAGGUGAAGGAUGGAGAAUGAAGAGGCAGAGGAGGACUCAAGAAUCAGCAUGUUAGAGUAAAGGCAAGGAUGGAGGCAGGUCUUCAAGGACACCCCAAGGGAGAGCAACUCGGGGCCAUCAUACAAUCACAGAAUGGUUUGGGUUGGGAGAGACACUUGAAGAUCACCAGUCCCACUGACUGCCAUGGGCAAAGAUGUCCUUCACCAGGUGAGGUUGCUCAAAGCCUUGUUCAGCCCAAUGUUGAACACUUCCAGCAAUAGGACAUCCACACCUUUGGGCAGCCCGGUUCAGUGUCACUAUCCUCAACGUGACAAGCUUCCAUUGCCCAGAAUGGCCGCAGUGUGGGGAGGAGGACGGUGAUGGGGCAUUGGGGCCAUUUCCCUCACCUCAGAGCACAUGAGGAGCCCAGAGCUUUGCAAACUCAGGUGACGGUGGCUGAUUGUCUCUGUCUCUCUUCUGCAUGAAGACACUUGGGCUUUGACACACAGAUCUGGAUAAAGCACAAAAAAAUCCCCAAACCUGAGAGGCGCGGGACCUGGCGGGGUUGGUUUGGCAUGGGUGGGCACACACAGGGGUCCCGUGCCCCAGACACCCAUACCCGGUUUGCUGGGCAUGGGGUCGUGUGCCCCCACAACCCCCUGCAGCCCCUACACCGUCCCCCAUUGGGGUAAUACAAUGUGCAGAGAAAGGAAAGGGAGAAAAGAAGCGAACAAACCAACAGAGGGGGUAAAGGAUGGCUCUCCCAUAAUUGUGUGAUUGAGAAAAGGAAAUAAAUACGGUGAUCCAUGCAGAAAACUCUUAAUCAACCCAGAAGUCAUGGACAAAAAAAGCACAGUUUGUCCCCUCCCGCUCCCACCCGACC
ensembl:lncRNA